UGAGAGGGGCAUCACAUGUACGUGCUGCUUCCAAGGACUACCUCGUUCUUCAGCCCAUUGUAGAUCUGAAAAUAAAAGGCAACCGAGGUUGACAUCAGAGAGAGAGAGAGAGAUGGCCGGGGCGCUUUGCUCCCUGAUGAACCGCAGCGAGCUAGCGUGCUGCACAGGAGCAAAUGGAUAGAAUCGAAGCAAGCAAGCCACAGAGAGAUAUUUCAGCAUCAUUCAUGUUAUCACCUGAAGAUUCUGGUAUCAUAGCAAACGAUCUAAGAAUUACUUACCAACAGAAAAACUAUGUGAUGUGCAUUAUUUACACAAACCAAUAUUUUCAUAUAGGGCCAGAGAGAUAUUUCAGCAUCCAAACCAAUAAGAAUGAAAUAAUCUAAGAGUACUAUCACUAUAGAGCAACAAUUUAUGAACUUGUUGUUAGUCAAAAGUAACAAUAUGUUCAGGCAAAAGGCCUAAGCAUUAAGUAUAAUUAAAACCCACACUAUAUGAAUCAUACUCAAGAUUCUUUUGCAUAGUCAGUCAAUCACACCACACAAAUAUUAAUAUUAAUUACCAAGAGAGUAUUUCCAAUCCUAGCGGAAUACUACCAAAUUUAAACUGUCAUAGGACAUGGAUAAUAUCAUGUAUAUCGUAUUAUCAAGCCAUAGUCCUAUUGCAGAAAAUUAUAUUAUUGAGCAUGAUUUGCUCACCUGAUAUAGAUCACAAAGGGUCCCAAUAUACUUGAGGCAAGUUGUUCAACAAAUAUUUUGGUCUGGGCUCAGAAAAUUGGAUCGAAUC
rnacentral:lncRNA from 1 species